UCUUCUUAUCUAUUCUUUUAUCCUCACUUCUUCUUCAGUUUCUCUUUGUUUCUUCUUUCUUCAUCUCUUUCUUUCUCUUCGUGUUCUUCUUCUUCUGCGAGUUUCAGAGAAUCGAAUGGAAGCUCUGUGAUCAACAGAAGAUGAACAAGAUCAUGCAGUGGUCGUCGUUGAUGGUGAUGGUGUAUGUGGUGGAUCCAUAUUAGAUUGAGGGGGAGAUUUAGAAGCUAGGGUUUCUACCAAAAGCUCAGAGAAGAAUUAAGAGAGGGAAUUAGUGUUCUAUGAGGAGGAAUUGAAAUGGGUUUAUGUCUAAUUUGGUUAUGAAGUUGAUUCAGUGAAGAAUUUAGGGGUUAUGGUUUCUGCAUGUUGUGUUGGAAUUCAGUGUGAGUGAGAAUUAAGAAGAUAGAGACGGAAUUAUAAGAUGGGUUUGCUUAAUUGAAGAGUUAAUUGAUGUUUUGGGUUUGAAUUAUAGAUUGAAGACAGUUAGGGUUUAUGUAUUCUUCCCCAAAUUAUAAUUAGGGUUUCAGUGAUGAGAAUUGGGGCGUGCUGAUGCUAAUGAUUCAAGAUGGAGAAUACGAUGAUUGUGGAAGUAACAGAUAGGUUUUGGUGUUGAUUCAAGUUGUAAGAAACUAGCAGAGAAAGAUUAUCCAGCCGCAUGAGAUUUGGAUUUCACUUGAGGUAAUCUUUUCUUCCUAAAUUGAAUUGAGUUACAUUCAAUAAGAUGGGUAGUCAAAUUUGAGUGUUGGUGUUAUAAAUUUUAAAUGAAAGUUUGGGUAGAACCUGAGAUUGUUGUUAGUCAAGUUGAAUUGCAGGUGGUAAUGGGUGAAAAUGAAUGGUAUCACUGAGCAUGUAAUUGAGGAGUUUUCAUGAUUGCAGGUGCAGGUAAUAUGAAUGUAUAUGUUGGUAGUUUAGAUGAGUUGAAAUGCAAGAUGAGAUGUUAUUGAGUCAUGAGAUGAUCCUGCAGGUGGGUUUAAUUGGGUGUGUUGGUGGUCUAUUAUUGAAUUGUAGCUGAGUUUUGCUCAGACUUGCAGGGGAAUUGGAUGAAUGGAUUAGGAAUUGUAUGUAGUAGAUGAGAGUAAUGAAGGAUAAUUGCAGGAUGGUUAAAGUUGUACCAUUUCAGUUAGAAAUGGAAGGAACAUAUGGAUGCAAGUUACAGGGAGAAGAGUUGGUUAUUAUUAGUAGUAGGUAUAUGAGGUGUAGAAAAUAAGAUGAACUGAGUUGUUGUGGUUAAAUUAGAUUGAGAUAGAUAUAUGUAGUUGUGAAGAAGAUUUGUCAUUGUUGGAUGAUAGAGCUCAACUUGGUGGUGUUGUAAGAUGCAAGGGAAAGGAUGGAGAUGGAUGUUUUGGCAUGAGAAUAUGCUGAUGUUGUGAGAGCUGAUAUGGGUUAUGAUGAUGAAAAGGAAAUUAGUAUUACACUGUUAGUGGUUAGGGUGUGGAGUUUGAAGUUAGACUGUAGAGUUCAGUUUAGUGGUGGUGUUACUUCACUUGAAUUUGGAUGUUACCUAAAGCUGCAAUUGCAGUUAGGCUAUAUUAACAACGAUCGAUUCAAAGGACGAACCAGUGGAUCAUGGAUCUCAAGGUAGGCGUGGCUUGUCAUUAAAAGAGUUCUGCAACCUCUUCAAGAAUUCUAUAACAUCAUUCCCUAAUUCUCCCAAGGUUGAAAAUGCCAAAACACCUAGGCUAUAUCCAUGAGCCGAACAUAUCUCAGCAUAUUUGUUACGCUUACGAGUAAUGGCAGCUGAAACGGCAUUCCCCGGUGUGAAACUGCGGUUGCCGCCUCUAGAAAAUGAGGAGACACCAGUCAAAUCAAAGCAAAUAUCUCGUCCGUUAUCCCAGUUGUAAACCAUGAUGUCGGUCGGCUUGAGAGGCGUACGACUGUCGGAUGUGAGACCAAACGAAGCAUCUUUCCUUGCUGCCACACCGGCUUUAUAACAUAACUCAAAGAAAAGAUCUCUGACCAUAUCGUAUCGAUACUUCAAACCAAUUUUGCUGGCACAAUGGAUGGCAUGAUCUCCAAACUUAUCCAUAACUCUUUUGCAACAUGAACAAAGACUAUCUUCGUCGAAUAAAGGUAUGCCAAGGCGGUACUGACCUGAAUUGACGUGGUCCGACUGCUUGGUUCAGCCCCUGGAUUGGAACAGCUUUAAGGUAAUCUUGUGCAUGAGAUUUCCUGUUGCACUGCCAUAGAAUGGAGUCGCGGUCUGUCAUGGCAAAGGUGGUUGGGAUCUUCUUUGUUACAGCAUCAAAAUAACGGUUCGCUAAGUAUUGCAUGGGCUGGGGGGCGAUGUCAUUGGUGCUGAAAUAAGAAGAGGAUAAACCACAUGAUUGCAAGUAACUGUGAAAUGCAUUCUGAAAGUUAGGUGCGAGUGCGGCAGAGUCCUGUAGAAUGUUGUGUUGCAGGUGCCUAGUUUGAUAGCAUGAAGCAAUGUAGCAAUACUGUAGGGUGUUUGUCAUUGUAUAAACCCAUAAACCACCGUGUUGGAUUGGUAGAGUAGUGAUUCCAAACCCUAGUUUUCAAUAUUUUUCAUCUCAUGAAACUCCCUCGUUUGAGAGAAAAUCCUAGUUUUCAAUAUUUUCUCAAAUAUUGCUUAAACCUUGGGAAACCCAAAAGUCAAAUGGUCACAUGACCGACUAGACUUCUCACGUCAAAUAUUAAAAUAUUAUUAUGUUAAUAUUCUGAAAAUAUUGGUUUCACGCGCGAAGU